GGACCCGCACAAGCAGUGGAGCAUGUGGUUUAAUUCGAAGAUACGCGCAGAACCUUACCAACACUUGACAUGUUCGUCGCGAGACUAAGAGAUUAGUUUCUUCAGUUCGGCUGGACGAAACACAGGUGCUGCAUGGCUGUCGUCAGCUCGUGUCGUGAGAUGUUGGGUUAAGUCCCGCAACGAGCGCAACCCUCACUUUUAGUUGCCAUCAUUUAGUUGGGCACUCUGAAAAGAACUGCCAGUGAUAAGCUGGAGGAAGGUGGGGAUGACGUCAAGUCCUCAUGGCCCUUACGUGUUGGGCUACACACGUGCUACAAAUGGUAUCUACAACAGGAAAGCAAGACGGCGACGUU
rnacentral:rRNA from 1 species